GCAGGGAAGGGGUGGGAGAAGUGAGAACUGGCUAAACAUCUCUAGAGUGCAUUCACCAGCAUUUCUUUUAGAAAAGAGAGCAAUGGAUACAAAAGAAUGAUCAUUUUCAUCAGGAGAAGGACAGUCUUUGCAAUGCAAACAAUUGACAAGGGUACCUUGACAACAAAUUCACAGGAGGAAAAUAGAGGAAGAAAAGAACUACAAGAAUUCUCCAAAGUCACAGUCAGUCACUUCAAUACUCUUGUCUAAUACUGAUUACAGCAUGUAUUGCAUACCCUAAGAAUCAGGCACUAUACUUUAAAAGCACUAAGUUAUUCUACUCAACAAAUGCAAAUGGAAAAAUCAGGCUCGAGAUGAACUUGCCCAAGGUCACAGCAUUAGCAAGUGAUGAAGUUGGGCUGCAACCCAGGAAGUUAUCUAAUUUGACGUGUUAACCACUGCUCUAUAUCAGUACCAUCCAAAUGAGUUUUCUGCGAUGACAGAAGUGUGCUAUAAAACAGAACUGAUCUGUUGAUCCGUUUUUGAAGAAGGGGUGAUGACACAACAGUGAAGCAAGCUUCCUUGUGUGUUUACAGGCAGACAGCUAGCACUGCCCCUGUGGCGCCUCCACUCACGAACACUUCCUUCCUUCCACAUCACUUUCAGUGUUAAACUCUGUGACUGGGGAAAGGCCCACAGCAAAUACAUGCAAAGGAGUAUUGCUUCCAGCUUCUUCUCAACCUUCCCAUUAUAAAUAGCCCAAGCAGCACUCAGUUCCUUAUAACCUCAACAACAGAUAAAACAACUAACAUCUGCUGAGCAGUUUGUUUCGUCCAGCACUUUUACAAGAUAAACCAUCUGAAAGUCAAGAAAUCCUGCAAUCUUGAGGCCAAAUACGCUUAACUACACUUCGUGAAAAGGAAGUUAAACUCAGAAAUUUCACUUGCUCAGUUUUGCAGAAGUACUAUUUCACAUAGUAAAUUCACGAAUAAAGA